CUCCUGGUUUGCAAUACAAAAUUCAUUGCUGUCUCAGUUGGUCUACAAUACGAAACCCGACGGUGCAUAGACGUGCUGAAUCUUCUGCAAGGUGCGGGAGCUUCCGCAACGCGUCGAUUCUGAUUUCAUCCUAGAAGCUGGGGAGAGGAGGAUCUGAGGAAAGUUGUCACUGAGAUUGGAUCCAGAGUUACUGUUGUGGAACUGGUUAAGAUUUACAAUGUCAUUAAGGAGGGAGGAAGAACUUCAAAAGAGAGAAGAAGAGAUUGGGAAGAGGGAGUUGGCACUCCACAACGAUCAAGCCUAGCGUUGUAGUCAAGAAGCCGACAUGCAGAAUGCAUGCACACUUCUUCGUGCCUAUUUUCUAAUAUCCAUAGUUAUUUAAUUGUAUUUGAUACGCACGAAGUGAAGACGACUUUGUUUUUAUGUUUGAUAGGAACUUAGAGUUUGUAAGUCGAGACU